rnacentral:lncRNA from 1 species
AACCAGAGUGUUUUACAGCAACCCAGCAGAACCAAAGGAUCUGCCAAUACUGGCGAAGUCCUUUCUCUGAACCAGACAACAGAAGCUGCUGUCCCAGUUCGUGGUUGCUCCUUCCCACUGGCAAACAGCUGGGGGGGAUCUGCUCUCAGGAGGAGGGAUAUUUUGGAAACUGGAAAACUGCCGCUUGCACCAGAAUGGCAUGCCACUAAUUUCUGCAGCUUUUUUGAAGGGAGCAUUGCCACCCGGCGAGCUCUGUCAGCCUCCUCUAGGAUUCCCCAUAGAAAUCCCCACCCUCCUACAAGAGGAGCCGUGCCCCAGGUUGUGCCUGCUGCAGGUUGGACGUGAAGAAGUGCACAUCCCUCUUUUUUUGCCUUCUUGCUGCAGACUCAUUCAACAAGGCCAUUCAGGACUGAAUUCAUUUCCAGGUCCAUCCUUUUUUGAAGAAACCAUCCCCAUGGAUGUCAGAAAUAUGAAUGAAUUCAGAUCUCCGUUUGGCAGCUGGAUGAGAAGGGAAUGCCACCGCAAAGGAGGGAUCGCUGAGGCGAGGCUGAAGUUGUAUUCAAAGGCAGCAGCAGUGCUGUGCAUUGCACAUGUCGUAGAAUCACCGCUGUGA